UAGGGAAUCUUCGGCAAUGGACGAAAGUCUGACCGAGCAACGCCGCGUGAGUGAAGAAGGUUUUCGGAUCGUAAAACUCUGUUGUUAGAGAAGAACAAGGACGUUAGUAACUGAACGUCCCCUGACGGUAUCUAACCAGAAAGCCACGGCUAACUACGUGCCAGCAGCCGCGGUAAUACGUAGGUGGCAAGCGUUGUCCGGAUUUAUUGGGCGUAAAGCGAGCGCAGGCGGUUUCUUAAGUCUGAUGUGAAAGCCCCCGGCUCAACCGGGGAGGGUCAUUGGAAACUGGGAGACUUGAGUGCAGAAGAGGAGAGUGGAAUUCUAUGUGUAGCGGUGAAAUGCGUAGAUAUAUGGAGGAACACCAGUGGCGAAGGCGGCUCUCUGGUCUGUAACUGACGCUGAGGAUCGAAAGCGUGGGGAGCAAACAGG
rnacentral:rRNA from 1 species